rnacentral:lncRNA from 1 species
GGAGUUAAAGGGAGAUGUACAUGAUUGGCGAUUGGGCCCAAUAAUUAUUUGUUGUUUGCAAACUCAUUUCAGAAAACAAAUCAGUUGGUUAAUUUGACAAGGAAAGCAGAGAUAAUUUAUGAUAAUAAGUAGGGGUGGGCACGGUUCGGUUUGGACCGGUUUUUGCCUCAAAUUAGAACCGAUCCAAUACUAUUCAUCCGGUUUGGUUCGGUUCGGUUUUAAUAAAAAAAAUUUCAAAAACUGUCCGGUUCGGUUUGAACCGGUUUCGGUCCGGUUCCGGUUCGGUUCGGUUUUGAACCGGAUUAUAAAAAUUAUUUUUUUAAAUUACUUUUUAAUACAAUUCUCAACUGAAAUAUUAUUUUUUUACUUGAAAAUUAACAAAUUAUUCAAUUUCAUAUAAAAAAUAAAUAUUAAAGUGAGAAAAUAGAGAUAUUUUGACAUUGAACUUGGAUAAAUAUUAUGUUUUUUUUAGUGAAAUUAAAAAUAUAGCAUUAAAUAUAAAUAUAUAUAUUGAAAUUAUAUAUUUUUUUAGUUUCACCGGUUCGGUUCGGCCCGGUUCGGUUUUUGAAGACAUGGAACCGGAUCCGGAACCGGUCCAAACCGGUCCGGUUCGGUUUUUGACCGGUUUUUGACUUUUUGGUCAACUCGGUUUUUUUCCGGUUUGGUUCGGUGCGGUUUGGUUUGGAUUUCCGGUUCGCCGGUUUGAGUGCCCACCCCUAAUAAUAAGUCAAGCUUAGCUUUCAUCGCAGGCCUUUCCUUAUUUAUAAAUAAUUGGUCACCCGACGAGGAGCAUAGGCUGGAG